AAGAAGCCAGUGGACCAGAGGUAGCCAAAAAUUUGCUAAAAUUUUCAUCUUACAGAAGGUAAUGAAGGGUUCGAUGGUAGUAUCAAACCGUUGCAGCUACAGCAAGAACAGCACAAAAGAAAGAUGACACUUCCUACUGAACCACAAACAUUUGGAAUACUUAACCACCAACUGGGAUCUCUCUUCACAACUUUUGGCAAGCUUAACAGAAUGCUUUGUCUCAAUUAAUAGGAAUCGUCAUCCAGGAUCUUUCUCUUCCUUCAUAUAUAUAGAUCAUGUCAUUAUAUGAACUUGAUAUGAUUAGCACAAAAAAUAUUACCAUAUCAAUCAUGUUUCCAGCAAACAUAAUGAAUCGACAAAAAAAAACUAUGUGUCCAAGAAAAAUUUGUCCACAUUUCAGGUAAUUACAAACAUACCGCAAAAAAGAAAAACAAUUGACAUGUGCCUUUGCAGGGAUACAGAAAGAGAUAAAAUUAAGCUAUAAGGUAUUUUCAAUAGGGUGACAUCAACCUUCUCUUGGUUUUUUAUGGAGAAGGAAAAGGAAGAGUUCCUUCUCUUAGCUAAGAGAUGAUAUCCUUAGUGUGUAAGGAAAGGCUAUUUUCUCCAUUGUACCAUAUGCCUUCUGUUAGUCACAAGUUUUCUAAUGGUAGCUCAUUGUAUAAUAUGGUUGUGUCUCUAAGGCCUUGUACAAUGGAAGGUGCUUAGAGAGAUGCUUAGAAAAAUAAACCGGGUUUUUCUGAAGCACCGGUGCCUAUUUCUACAGGAGAGACGCUUAGUUAAGCGUCUAUCCUGUAUAAAUAAGCACCGAUGCUUAAGAAAAGUCUGGUUUAUUUCUCUAAGCACCUCUCCUAAGCACCUCCCAUUGCACAAGGCCUAAGUGGGCUUGUUUUCUCUACUGCUGGAGAUGCCCUAAGCAUAUUAUACAACCACAUACACAAAUGUAAGUGCAAACUUACUCAAAAGAUUUGAAAACGUAUUAGCAAGGAUGACAUGUAAGAAAUCUACAGUAGCAAAAGAUAAAAACACUACAUAAUUGCUGGUGCCCCACAGGUUCCAUACUAAUCCACCUUUCAAUACUUCGAAAUACAUGAACGGUUGAUGCUAACAUAUGUGAAUAGAGUUCUGAGUUGCGACCGCCUUCAUGUAGGAAUGGAGCUGUGCUACCUGGUUUAUGAUUUGUCUUCAGCUUAGAACUCCUCUGGUUGGUAGAGUCCAUUAGCAAGACAAAGGUGUCACGUGAAACAGUGGAUGCGUUUGACGGCAUUAUUGCUGAUAGCAGGCACAAUCACUAAAACUACAUCAUGAUUUACCAUUCAAGCUAUUCCUGUAUUAACAAUGUAUUCCUUUUUUUUCAUAACAUAGUGGCUAUUUUGACCUUUCGUUUAUUCUACAAUACCUGACAUACAGAUAUGAGUAUCGUGGGGAAAUAAAGGCGAACAUCAAAGAAAGUACAUCAAAAGUUAAUAAUUUGAUUUUGGCACCAUCGAAAUGAAGCUCACGGAUUUCAAUAUCCAACACAUCAACGACCAUCAAAAGUAAGUUUUUACUUCAAGUUAAAUGCAGAAAGGAAUAGUAUGCAAGAUGGCACCAUGAGACUCUACUUCAAUUUAAAUGCAGAACAAAGUAUGCAAGGUGGAGACAACCCCAGGUCUCCACUUCACUAACAUGUUGAUUUUAUUUUUUAUUUUUAUCAAAGUAACCAAAUAUGUUAAUAGUCGAAAUCAUUUCAAUGAAGACAGGACAAAUAAUUAGGUGAGAUGCAAAUACCUGGAAACACUCAUGGGGAACUUGACGGCAAGAAAACUGUUGAGAUUACAACACUUGACUUCAUACAUGUCGGCGUCUUCUCCGAAGCAGUCUUCAUGUCUCAUAUACGGAUGAGUUGACAGCAGUGUCUUGGCAUUCAAAUCAACAGUAACCACCGAAACCUUGUCAUAGCCACCAUCCGUGCGCUCAGAGUCAGAGUAGAGAAAAUGUACCACAUGGGCCUCCU
rnacentral:lncRNA from 1 species